GAUGAACGCUGGCGGCGUGCCUAAUACAUGCAAGUCGAGCGAACGGACGAGAAGCUUGCUUCUCUGAUGUUAGCGGCGGACGGGUGAGUAACACGUGGAUAACCUACCUAUAAGACUGGGAUAACUUCGGGAAACCGGAGCUAAUACCGGAUAAUAUUUUGAACCGCAUGGUUCAAAAGUGAAAGACGGUCUUGCUGUCACUUAUAGAUGGAUCCGCGCUGCAUUAGCUAGUUGGUAAGGUAACGGCUUACCAAGGCAACGAUGCAUAGCCGACCUGAGAGGGUGAUCGGCCACACUGGAACUGAGACACGGUCCAGACUCCUACGGGAGGCAGCAGUAGGGAAUCUUCCGCAGUGGGCGAAAGCCUGACGGAGCAACGCCGCGUGAGUGAUGAAGGUCUUCGGAUCGUAAAACUCUGUUAUUAGGGAAGAACAUAUGUGUAAGUAACUGUGCACAUCUUGACGGUACCUAAUCAGAAAGCCACGGCUAACUACGUGCCAGCAGCCGCGGUAAUACGUAGGUGGCAAGCGUUAUCCGGAAUUAUUGGGCGUAAAGCGCGCGUAGGCGGUUUUUUAAGUCUGAUGUGAAAGCCCACGGCUCAACCGUGGAGGGUCAUUGGAAACUGGAAAACUUGAGUGCAGAAGAGGAAAGUGGAAUUCCAUGUGUGGCGGUGAAAUGCGCAGAGAUAUGGAGGAACACCAGUGGCGAAGGCGACUUUCUGGUCUGUAACUGACGCUGAUGUGCGAAAGCGUGGGGAUCAAACAGGAUUAGAUACCCUGGUAGUCCACGCCGUAAACGAUGAGUGCUAAGUGUUAGGGGGUUUCCGCCCCUUAGUGCUGCAGCUAACGCAUUAAGCACUCCGCCUGGGGAGUACGACCGCAAGGUUGAAACUCAAAGGAAUUGACGGGGACCCGCACAAGCGGUGGAGCAUGUGGUUUAAUUCGAAGCAACGCGAAGAACCUUACCAAAUCUUGACAUCCUUUGACAACUCUAGAGAUAGAGCCUUCCCCUUCGGGGGACAAAGUGACAGGUGGUGCAUGGUUGUCGUCAGCUCGUGUCGUGAGAUGUUGGGUUAAGUCCCGCAACGAGCGCAACCCUUAAGCUUAGUUGCCAUCAUUAAGUUGGGCACUCUAAGUUGACUGCCGGUGACAAACCGGAGGAAGGUGGGGAUGACGUCAAAUCAUCAUGCCCCUUAUGAUUUGGGCUACACACGUGCUACAAUGGACAAUACAAAGGGCAGCGAAACCGCGAGGUCAAGCAAAUCCCAUAAAGUUGUUCUCAGUUCGGAUUGUAGUCUGCAACUCGACUACAUGAAGCUGGAAUCGCUAGUAAUCGUAGAUCAGCAUGCUACGGUGAAUACGUUCCCGGGUCU
rnacentral:rRNA from 1 species